UUUCACGUGACGAGGCAUCCUGUUCGAAGACGCCAUUUAUGUUGAUGUUUGCCUUGUGCUCUAUAUAACUGCUUUCGUUGUUUGUUGCUGCUUCUUGUUAUUUCGUUACUGCUGUUCCGUUUUGUUAGUGUUUCUUGUUAUUGUUUACUUUGUUUUAGUAAACAUGAGUAAUUCCCACGAAACGCUCUAUAAGUGUGAGGAAUGUAGUUCAGAGUUUAUAAUGCGAAAGAACCGCUACGCUCAUAUGAGGAAAGUUCAUGAACUUGAUAUCCAUGUGUCUAAAAAAGGAAAAGGCAGUGAAUUGUGACCCCAGUGCGGAAUUGCAUUUAUGAGAUGCAGUUCAUUAAAACGUCAUCAAAUAACUGCGCAUGGCAUGAAGUCGGAGGAAAACAGUCGGAAAUGCCGCAUUAUUUGCCCACAGUGAUCUCUCUCUCGUUUCUCACCUAUGACACACUGAGAACACAUAUUCAAGAGAACCAUGACGUUAGUUUUGAGUGCCAGGAGAUAGAAUUUGAUUGUCUUGCAGACUUUGAAGAGUCGAAAAUUUCUUACGAAAAUGUAAACCAUGUUCGUUAUGUAAUGAAUUGUUCGGAGCAGGAGCGAUUAGAAAAACGUGUUCGAUAUUACCACUGCCAUCGUUCUUUCAAUUUCAAUUCUAAAGGAACAGGUGCCAGGUGUGUCAAAAGUAUGGGCACGAAUAAAAUAGGCAAGUGACAAUAACAAAGGACAAAUGCUGCUUAAAAUUUUUUCCAAAACAUAUGGGACACACCCAAGAUAUUGGAAGAACAUUUCUGCAUAGGAACGAGAGGGCAGAGUUGGCAGGACGGCUGUCACAGGGUGUUCCUGUUGGAUGAGUUUUACAAGAUGUCCGAAGUGCACCAAUCGCUACAAGUGUGGAGAGAGUCCAUCUCCUUAAGAAAAAAGAUUUGCAUAAUAUAAAAAGGGAUUUUGAUAUUGGUUAUGCAACGAAGAAGCAUCAAAAUGAUGCAGUGAGUGUGAAAUUGUGGGUUCAAGAAAUGAAGAGACAAAGUGACAACCCAGUACUGUAUUUCAAGCAGCAAAAACAAGUGGAUCCUAAUUUUCAAGAUGAAGAUGUCAUUCUUAUUAUAAUGACAGACUUUCAGGCCGAACAACUUCUAAAGUAUGGAGAAGAUAAAAUAUGUGUGGAUGGCACUCAUGGCAUGACUGCAUAUGAUUUUCAACUUUUUACUAUUGUUGUUGUUGAGAUAUGGUGCUGGAAUGCCAGUUGCAUUUUGUUUUUCAAAUAGGGGAGACAUGUGUUUACUGUCUUUUUAUUUCAAAUAUGUGAGAGAAAGGGUGGACACUGUAAAGACCAAUGUGUUUAUGUCUGACGAUGCACCAGCAUUUUGUAAUGCAUGGUCAGCAGUAAUGGGACCUGUGCCAAACCAGUAUCUGUGUUCUUGGCAUAUACAACGGAACUGGUCUCAGAAUUUAAGGAGAAUUUCUGGGGGUAGUGAGAAAAAAUCAGCAGUGUUUAGUUCACUAAAGCGACUUCAGACUGAGCUGGAUAUAGAUGUUUUUAGUUGUAGUCUGGAGAAAGUGGUGGAAGACUUAUUGAAUGAUCCGGAUACUGCAGAAUUUGGCAGGUACUUUCUUAAAAUGUAUGCCAGCGAGUGGAAAAGUGGGCGUAUUGUUUUAGGCACUGAUUGGGCGUUAAUACGAACAAUUACUUGGAGUCCCUACAUAAAGUUAUUAAAUACAGUUAUCUAGAAGGGAAAAAGUGCAGAAGGCUGGACAAGUCAUUAAAUGCUUUAUUAUGUUUAGUGAGAGACAAAGUAUAUGAGGGCUUAGUGAAGCUCUCAAAACGUGCUCUAGGGUGUCAAGAGUGAAAGCAAGCCACAACGAUAGCUCAGAUAUAACAAAUGGGAUGAUUUUAUGCAGGAGUGAAGGGUUGUGGGAAGUGCUUUCUUCCACUGGUUGUGAAGUGUAUGUUGUAAAAAAAUUCAGAACUGAUAUGCAAAAGAAAAUGUUCACUUAAGUGUAACCCCUGCAACAUGAGUGUGCAUUCGUAUAAAUGCAGCUGUUUAGACAUUUUAAAUUUUAACAUAUGUAAGCAUAUACAUGCAUGUGCCAAAUCAUUGUCUGGUGCUGUCCAGAAGAGUGAACACUGCUGCUUGCCCUCUAGUGCAGACAAUGAAUAUGUGUCAGCAUUGCUUUCUGGCAAUUCAGAAAAAUCUGCUGACACAUUUGAACAGGAUGUGAUGUCUCACUGUGAAACUAUAGUUGCACUCAGCAAAGGAACACAGUGUGGACCGGAGACUAAGGCCAAAGUAUUGAAGGAUCUGAAGAAGAUCAUUGGCAAUUUUAAUAAAGAUUUUUCUUUCUCACAAGAAAACACAGUAUAUGUGAAUGCGAAGAUUGAAUCUCAGGCUAGAUUUUCUUCCACAAAGCAGAGAAGGAUUUUGUGAGGGGUGAUUAAGUGAUUUAAAAAAAAAAAAAAGUAAACUCCAGGUUGGAAUGUCAACAAUAUUAGGAAAAAAAUAGUUUGCCACUCACUGUAAAGAUGACAUGUUGAGUUGCAGACAGGCACAAUGUAAAGAAUGUUACACAUUUAGUUUUUGGCCAAAGCCUUCUCCAGAAAAAACACAAACAGAUUAACACUAAAUGUGUAACAGUCUUUACAUUGUGCCUGUUUGCAACUCAACAUGUCACCUUUACAGUGAAUAGCAAACUAUCCUUUUCCUAAUAUUGUUAAUGCACAUAAAGGUGGCCUUGUACAUUAUGGCAAUUUGUGUGUGUGUGUGUGUGUGUGUGUGUGUGUGUGUGUGUGUGUGUGAGAGAGAGAGAGAGAGAGAGAUAUUCCAUGUACUUGAAGGUGAAUAAAAAUUUAAAUUUACUUGUGCA